GGGGAAGCAGGCUCCUGCCAAGCAGAGAGCCCGAUGUGGGGCUCGAGCCCAGGACCCUGAGAUCAUGACCUGAGCGGAAGGCAGAGGCUUUGAAUACUCCUUAAAGGAUCUAGAUGCCAGUCCUGGAAUGCAUAUAUAAUUAUCCUGCAGUAACCCUGAGUGAUAGGACCUAUAAUUGUCCCCAUUGUACAGAUGAAGAAAGUAAGACACAGAGGGAUUAAAUAAUUUGCCACGAUCACAAAAUCACUCCAGCUGCUGUACAGAGAAUGGAUUGUGGAAGGUAAAAGUGAAAACAGUGGCCUUGGAAAAGAGAUGGCAGUGGCCUCAUCUAGGGGGGAGCAGAAGUUAAGGAAGAAGUGGGUAGAUUUGGGACCGAAUUUGGUUAUAAAACUGAUAACC